rnacentral:rRNA from 1 species
CCCUUAGAUGUCCUGGGCGGCCCGCGCGCUACAAUGUCAGCUACUGAAGGUUAAUGCUUUGAAAGAGAGCGCGCUCUCCUUUUAAUUGCUCGCGUGCUGGGAUAAAUGAAUGCAAUUUUGUUUUGAACGAGGAAUUCCUAGUAGCCAUGUUUCACUAGAAGAUGGCGAAUGCGUCCCUGCCCUUUGUACACACCGCCCGUCGCUCCUACCGAUGAGCGUUUUGGCGAAGACGGUUUGAGUAGCUGCGUAAUUUCGUGUUGUUGACUCCGGCAGUUUGAGCCUUCACGUUUAGAGGAAGGAGAAGUCGUAACA